rnacentral:rRNA from 1 species
UCCUGACUGACCGAUAGUGAACCAGUACCGUGAGGGAAAGGCGAAAAGAACCCCGGCGAGGGGAGUGAAAAAGAACCUGAAACCGUGUACGUACAAGCAGUGGGAGCACGCUUAGGCGUGUGACUGCGUACCUUUUGUAUAAUGGGUCAGCGACUUAUAUUCUGUAGCAAGGUUAACCGAAUAGGGGAGCCGAAGGGAAACCGAGUCUUAACUGGGCGUUAAGUUGCAGGGUAUAGACCCGAAACCCGGUGAUCUAGCCAUGGGCAGGUUGAAGGUUGGGUAACACUAACUGGAGGACCGAACCGACUAAUGUUGAAAAAUUAGCGGAUGACUUGUGGCUGGGGGUGAAAGGCCAAUCAAACCGGGAGAUAGCUGGUUCUCCCCGAAAGCUAUUUAGGUAGCGCCUCGUGAAUUCAUCUCCGGGGGUAGAGCACUGUUUCGGCAAGGGGGUCAUCCCGACUUACCAACCCGAUGCAAACUGCGAAUACCGGAGAAUGUUAUCACGGGAGACACACGGCGGGUGCUAACGUCCGUCGUGAAGAGGGAAACAACCCAGACCGCCAGCUAAGGUCCCAAAGUCAUGGUUAAGUGGGAAACGAUGUGGGAAGGCCCAGACAGCCAGGAUGUUGGCUUAGAAGCAGCCAUCAUUUAAAGAAAGCGUAAUAGCUCACUGGUCGAGUCGGCCUGCGCGGAAGAUGUAACGGGGCUAAACCAUGCACCGAAGCUGCGGCAGCGACGCUUAUGCGUUGUUGGGUAGGGGAGCGUUCUGUAAGCCUGCG